rnacentral:rRNA from 1 species
UCAAGCUACAAAGGGCGCAGGGCGAAUGCCUUGGCAUUGGGAGCCGACGAAGGACGCGGUAAGCUGCGAAAAGCUUCGGGGAGUUGCAAACAAACAUUGAUCCGGAGAUGUCCGAAUGGAGCAAUCCGGCAUGGUUAAUACCAUGUCACCGUAUACUGAAUCCAUAGGUAUGCGGGGGGAACCGCCUGAACUGAAACAUCUAAGUAGGGCGAGGAAGAGAAAUCAACCGAGAUUUCGCUAGUAGUGGCGAGCGAACGCGAAAGAGGCCAAACCUGAGGUAGAAAUACUUCAGGGGUUGCGGACUGCAUUUAGGAAGCCGAUUUUAGCAGAAGUGCAUGGGACGGCACACCGGAGAACGUGAGAGUCGUGUAUGCGAAAAGAGAGGCAGACGAGCAGGAUCCAGAGUACCGCGGGGCACGAGGAAUCCCGUGGGAAGCCGGGGGGACCACCCUCCAAGCCUAAAUACUACCCAAUGACCGAUAGCGAAUAGUACUGUGAAGGAACGGUGAAAAGCACCCCGGGAGGGGAGUGAAAUAGAACCUGAAACCCUGUGCCUACAAGCACAUAGAGCGCGUCAAAGCGUGAUAUGGUACCUUUUGUAGAAUGGUCCGGCGAGCGUACGUAGCCAGCAAGGUUAAGGACUUAAGGUCUGGAGCCGCAGCGAGAGCGAGUCUGAAAAGGGCGAGAUAGUUGGUUGCGUAGGGCCCGAAACCGGGUGACCUAUCCAUGUCCAGGUUGAAGUGGAGGUAAAACUCCAUGGAGGACCGAACCGACCUCCGUUGAAAAGGCGGCGGAUGAGGUGUGGAUAGCGGAGAAAUUCCAAUCGAACCCGGAGAUAGCUGGUUCUCCCCGAAAUAGCUUUAGGGCUAGCGUUGCAUAUGAUUACCGGAGGUAAAGCACUGAAUGGGCUAGGGGUCGAGAGAUUACUGAACCCUAUCAAACUAAGAAUGCCGGCUAAUUUAGAGUGCAGCAGUCAGACUAUGGGAGAUAAGUUUCAUAGUCAAAAGGGAAACAGCCCAGACCCACAGCUAAGGUCCCAAAGUAUGUUUAAGUGGAAAAGGAUGUGGAAUUGCGAAAACAACCAGGAUGUUGGCUUAGAAGCAGCCAUACAUUAAAAGAGUGCGUAAUAGCUCACUGGUCGAGUGGUUCUGCGCCGAAAAUUUAACGGGGCUAAAACAUACACCGAAGCUUGGGCUGCAUACUGUUUAACAAAACUCAUAUACACCAGGGAGGUAACUCCCGGCGACGGAACGGAGCCGGGUAAAUUACUUUCCGGAAAAGGUGAGUGGGCUUUGUUAAGCAGUAUGCGGGGUAGGGGAGCGUCGUAUACGAGGAGAAGUCAGAGCGAAAGCGUUGGUGGAUUGUAUACGAGUGAGAAUGCCGGAAUGAGUAGCGAGAAUUAUGUGAGAAUCAUAAUGGCCGAAAGCCUAAGGUUUUAGGAGGAAGGUUCGUCCGCUCCUAGUAAGCCGGGAGCUAAGGUGAGGCCGAAAGGCGUAGCCGAUGCACAUACGGUGGAGAUUCCGUAGCCUCCAAAAGAUUUAAGCAGAGUGACACUUUCAAAGGGUAUGAGCCGGGCGAUGGUAGACCCGGUCGUAAGGGACCGAAAACAAGUAGGGAAGCAUACUUAGAGGAAGGCGAGAAAAGCUUUGUGGAUAUCUGAGGAGCCCGUACCGCAAACCGACACAGGUAGGUAGGAAGAGGAUUCUAAGGCCAACGGGAGAAGGGUUGUUAAGGAACUCGGCAAGUUGACCCCGUAACUUCGGGAGAAGGGGUACUCAUGAGAAUGAGUCGCAGAGAAUAGGCCCAGGCGACUGUUUAGCAAAAACACAGGUCUGUGCUAAAUCGAAAGAUGACGUAUACGGGCUGACACCUGCCCGGUGCUGGAAGGUUAAGAGGAGGGGUGAGAGCUCUGAAUUGAAGCCCCAGUAAACGGCGGCCGUAACUAUAACGGUCCUAAGGUAGCGAAAUUCCUUGUCAGGUAAGUUCUGACCCGC